GAUUUUCUCAAUUGUUUUGCAAUGAUUUUUCCUUGUCCCAGUUUACUAAGAAGAAAUGGUAGCGUGUUUUAGGUCCUAAUGAUCUUUUUGCGUUAUGAUAGUACAUUGAAUACAAUAAGACAAAGUUUAUUUAAAGGAUUGCUAAUGAUUUGAUAUUUCAUAUUUCUUGUAGUGUUCAAGCGAUAAGUUGAAUAUGAAUUUUUUGAUACAGGUUUCGAUAGUUAUUUUAACCAUACAGUGCUGUGAAAUAGUGUGCAGACCUCAUUAUCAAUAUAAACAUGGAUUACAAAAAAGUUUUCAUUUUGAAAUAAUUCCAUUAUCACUUAAACAAUUUAGUUUUGUAUUGGAAAAAAUAAUCCCAUUCGGGAAGUUUGAAUUGAAACAUGAUAUCCAUAAACGACAGAUUAUAGACUCUGAAAUAUCUCCAAUAUCUAACGAAAUACCAGUUGCUAAUGUAGCAAUUGAGGAAAUCAAUAAAACACCAGCAAUUGAAAUACUGGAUAAAAAAGAAGAAAAUUUGACACCUGAAGUAAUAAUUACUUCAAUAAUAAAACCUGUCGAAGAUAGCAAA